CAGAGAGGGCACACAUUGUGUGCACAUGUGUGUAAAACAUUGCAUGCUAUAAGCCAUUCAAGCUGAUCUGUUUGUGAAAUGUUAAUUAUAUAAACAUGGAGCUGGUGCAGCCUUGAGGCUACUGAAUAGCAAACAGUGGGCCAGAUGUUGGGCAGGAAGCUGCUACACCACUGGUGCUCUCUCAGGCCCAAGGGGUGGAGUUUCUGCUGGCCAGGGCCCUCUCUCUGCUUGUGGAUCAGGUAGCGGGUUAAUUCCUGCUGCAGCCUGGGGAGCUGUACCUGGACCCUAUCCCAACUAGGCCUGGGGCUGGACCAGGGGCAGGCUGCCUCACUUGGGGACCAGUACACUGAGUACAAGGAGGGAGGUGCAAGUGGCCGCUUUGGGGUGUGAUGGGGUACACAGACUUCCUUACAGUUCUUACUGCUACUUGAAGCCUGUGUGGUCCUCCAUUGUCUGGCUCCUUCCAGUCUCACUGUUGGGUUAGAAGUGUUUGUGCCCUCAUGAGAUGGAGCAGAAGUAAUACGUGCCUGUCUCUCGCCUGAGAGGGACACCCAUGCUGUGGUGGGUGUGGCUCAUGGGCCACACAGCGGCACCCUGGCGUGCUGGAGACAAGAGCUCCAGGAAGAAGCUUCAGUAGGUCAUGUGCGGGACAGCAGUGUAUCUUGGGAGCGUCAGCAGUUUGUGAACGCAGGGCGUUAUGGGCUGUGAAACUGUAUAUUCCACUGAACCUGGGGCAGACUGUUCUCUGAAUUUUCUUCGACAAUGUUGAUCAUCUUUGAAACAGGAAAAACCGAAGCAAAAAGAUGCAAAAACCUAAGGGGGAGAGAUUGCCCUGAAUACUUGAUUUAGUGCUGAGUAAUAGCUUGCUUAGCCAGCUGACCCAUGCUUAGACUACUCAUCAACAUUUGAGACUGAGGACAGUGUGUGGCCAGAGGGGCCAGGUGGCUGACGUAUCAGUUCAUUAGCAAGGCCAGGCAGAAAAUGGGUGCCUCUCCCCAAGCUCCCAGUACCCUUCAGGUUUACGUAAGUUAUUUAUGGUGGGACAGAGUUAUAAAGCCUCACUUCUAACCCCAAAUGCUCAAACGUCCCUGGAACUGAGCCCUGGCACCUAACUGGAAAACUGGCACCUGAAUUGCAGCUCUGGGCAAGAGUGCGUGUGUAAGAGUGCGCACGUAGACUGAAUGCAGACAUUCGAGUCGAUGACAGACAGAAGAUGAGGCAGAUCCCCCAAGUGAUGUCACAUCCAAGACAAAAGAUGGGCAAGAGGACCAUGGGCUCAUUCCUGACUGGGGUGCUGGCUGGACCCGAAAACCAGGGAUGCCUGGGCUUCAGGGACUCAUGGAGUUUGGCCUAGGAGGCCGGACUGGACCCUUUGUGCGAGCUCCCUGAAGCCUGCUUGAGAAGGUGGCAAAGAGGUGGGACCAGGUUACAAGGAGGAGGACCCUGCCUGGCACAAUAGCAUGGGUGGCUGCCCACCCCCUCAGAACACCAGCCUCUGCAAACUUCAUCUUUAUCUGCAUCCAUUAAACUGUGUCUUUGGCAGUGGAGCAGCUCCGUCUGGUGACAGGACCUGUCGGUGAGCCUCUGGCGGCUCUUUCCCACUGUGGACAGCUUAAUGCUACAGGAUGAACAGCGGUAACCUCUGUUGGAGAUGGUUUACCUUCUCGCUGUUCUCAGGGAUGGACAAAUGACUGAGGGGGCUUUUCAACAAGGAGCACAAUGUUUUUUCUCUUGACUUCUCUGGUAUCCUCUCCUCGCUGACACAGAGUUAGGCAGGCAAGUCCAUGCCCGGACAAGAGGCCUGGAAGAACGCUAAGAAACAGACUUAGGUCUGAAACGGGGAUGCCAGUCUGAUUCCAGAGCAGCUUAGUGUGAGCUCUCACACACAUGGCGACUUCCAAGACGAAGGACACUGCAGCUGGCUGGAGCCACUAUUAUUUUAUUAUUAUCAUCAUUUAAACGCGAGUGUGUGUUCGAGCUCCCGUUGAGUUUCUGCACAUCACAUGCAUUCAGGAGCCUGCAGAGACCAGAAGAGGCUUUGGAUUCCCCGGCAACCAAAUCACUGGCUUUGGGCUCUGUCUCCUGUCCUGGAUUAUCCCACUAGACACCAAGGUCUGGGUGCUGCAUGCUGACCUCCCCACUGGCUGUCGAGUGAACGAGAGAGCUACUGGCCAUCUGUGUCUCUGCUAAGCUCAGCACAUGUGGGCUUGAUGUCUCCAGUUCCGGGCUACUCCAUACAGACAUUUCAGCCUCUUCCUUUGCUCACUUGGAACGCUCACACCAGCAGCGAAGACCUUGGUACCCACCAUCUGCCCUCUGUCCUGCUAACUCCAAAUUCCAGCAGGAGCUUCCUGUAGGAUGAAAUGUUUCGAUCUUGAAGGAUGCUUUUACAAAACAACAUGGAAGACUGGGAAGUCUGACGACUGGGCGGGGAUGGAUUCCAGCAGCCACUCCUGGACCCUGUCACCCAUGGGCGAUGUUACAGAGGAGACAGAGUGCUUGAGGAAGAUCCCCAGGACAUGAAGCUGUCGGCUUCUGAUAAUUAAAGGGACUUCAUGGUUUGGUCAAGGGCCCCAUCUGGCACGGUGGCAGGAGGAAUCCUAGCAUUUUAAGGUUUCUCAAAGGAGCAAGCCGACAACAGGACAAGCUAAAGCGCUUGCUAUGUCCCAUCAGGAACAAGUUUUAAUGGUGAAAAGUGAGAUGCUCCAGCAUCUGUGGGACUGUGGGAUGCACCGGUGUCCCCUGUUCAGCUGUGGGGUCAUGCAGACAGCGUGGGGCGGGGGGCAUUGGGAAUGGAGAGGUGGAGUCAGGCUGGAGAGUGUUCGGGCCUUGCUUUUGCAUGCUGUGUGACCCUGGGCAAAUAAAUCAACAAACAUUCUGUACACCCCAGAUGCCUCACUUGUAAGGGGUCCACGAAGAGAGGGAAGCAGGGGCUCUGUAGACAUCUGAGCUGAGAUAGGAAAUACUCUCAAGGCACACUGUAGCUGAAAGUCCUCCAAAGCUCACACCACAUUUGAUCGCCAGGGAGACAGGGACGUAUCACCUCAUAGAGACAUGCUGGUGUCUGGUUUUCUCUUGUGGGCUCCUGACAGAACACAGAUUAGGAUAACCCCUGCUCUAGCUCCCCAGGGGUCAGUGCUUGACUCACUGGGCAUGCUCUUCUGCUGUGGACUUACAGCUUCAGGACUCGCUUCUGACUGUCGAUUUGCCAGCCACAGGACAUCACGGCAGUCAUGGAAGACAGGCUGGCCAUCAUUUCAUCCUCUAGAGCGGGGGAGACGACGUGGGAAGAAGGCCCUGGCUGCAUGUGAUGCCAGGGCUCUGGAUGUGGAAUCCAUGUGUUUGGACUCCAGGAUUCAGAACCCACAGGGAGCUUUUUGCAGGGCCCCGAGUGCUGGGGAGUUGGAGCCGUUCUACUGUACCCCUGCUCUUGGGCUCUGCCCCCUGCCAGGGCUGUGAUGAGCAUUGCUGGAGCACCUUCCUGAUGGGAGCAGAGGCACACAAGGAAGGACACGAGCAGCCAUGGAGCUCAGAGCAUCCCCGGCUCCCCUCUUGGUGCUCUGCAGCUGAGACACAGAGUCCCCUUUGGGUGCAUGCGGGGCUGGGUGGGGGCUGGGUGAGUGGGGCCCUGGGCUCUCCUGGGUCCCUCUUCGAUCUGAAAUGUACAGCUAUGAAACCAAGGCCAGAGCAGAGAUGGCUUGGUCCCUUGUCAGCUCACCUGCAUCUCUCUCUGUCCCGUUCUCUUUCUGCUUAGGGAGAUGCCUACUGAACUCCCCCGCUGUCUGUGGUGGCCUGUGGUAGAUCGGAAUGUGGCAGAGGCUGCAGGGCUGAGCCAUCACACACGGCACUGACACUCUCUGGGCUGGGAUCCGGGCCCCUUUUGUUUCUCUAGUUUGUAUGGGCUCAUUCCUGGCUUGUAGGUCAGAAGCCCGUGCAGCCGCAAGAGGCAACCGGUGCUUCCUGCUCCUGAACACCUUUAGAAGCAUC